rnacentral:rRNA from 1 species
GAUGAACGCUGGCGGCGUGCCUAAUACAUGCAAGUCGAGCGAACAGAUGAUGAGCUUGCUCCUCUGACGUUAGCGGCGGACGGGUGAGUAACACGUGGAUAACCUACCUAUAAGACUGGUAUAACUUCGGGAAACCGGAGCUAAUACCGGAUAAUAUCUUGAACCGCAUGGUUCAAUAGUUAAAGACGGUUUUGCUGUCACUUAUAGAUGGAUCCGCGCCGCAUUAGCUAGUUGGUAAGGUAACGGCUUACCAAGGCAACGAUGCGUAGCCGACCUGAGAGGGGGGUCGGCCACACUGGAACUGAGACACGGUCCAGACUCCUACGGGAGGCAGCAGUAGGGAAUCGUACGCAAUGGGCGAAAGCUUGACGGAGCAACGCCGCGUGAGUGAUGAAGGUCUUCGGAUCGUAAAACUCUGUUAUUAGGGAAGAACAAAUGUGUAAGUAACUAUGCACGUGUUGACGGUACCUAAUCAGAAAGCCACGGCUAACUACGUG